UUCAGAUCUCCGCUCAGAAUGACUCAGUCACUAAACUCCAAAAGAAAGAGAGCGCUUUGGAGGAAGUUCAUCAGGCAGAAAUAACUGGGAGAGAGCAAAGAAAAGUGGAGCGCUCAUUCUCCCAGUCUAGGGAAAAGAAAAAAAUCAUUGUCUGCUUGCUUAGAGACCACAGCUUGCUGCACAAACAGGAAGGCAACUGUGCUUUUCUAGGUAUUAACUCAUGGCAGCACAGCAAAACGUUGCCAAUUUGUGCCACUGCCCAGAAGAGCUUUGUGAAUUGCUGAGGGUGAGCUAGAUUCUUCUAAAAUAGUCACUGCUGGACCAAGUCCCUCAAGGCCUAUUGAAAAUGCACAUUCAAAGCUUUCAGGAAGCACCUCAGCUGAACUCAGACUCAUGUUCACAAGCUGGAAGAUAACCUGUCUGAAGCCAAAGCCCAGCUGGCUGAGGUGGAGAAGAGCCAAGCUGAAAUUAAUGCCAUCAGGCUCCCAAGGCCAACGCUGCUUGUGCGGCUCAGGAGAAGAAGCAGAGAGCCUUUGAUAAGAUGCUGGCAGAAUGGCAACAAAAAUAUGAAGAGCUGCAGGUGGAAGUGAGUAUUUCGCAGAAGGAAUGUACAUUGACUGGAAAUUCUGAGUGUCUGUUGAAAACCCUUGGAGCACCUGGAAUCUGUGAAGAAAACAUGGCCCUUCAUGGACCCUUGGAAGCAAAUGGAUGAGGAUGUUCGCCAGCACGGGGAGCUGGAGGAACAACACCGCUGCCUGCUACAGCCAGAGCUGGAAGCAGUACGGACCGGGCUGGAGGGCGGCGAGGUUGAAAAACCUACUUUAAAAGGGACGGUGUAAGAUUCUGCCUCCAAUAAAACUACAUUUUUGCUCGUUGUUUCCAUGGUGCUGGGAUUUCUUCUAUGGAACGUAGCCCACAGCAAGAUCCAUUUUAGUGAGAUUUUACAGAUUGCAGUAUGAAAUGACAUACCUGCCAUAUUUUUUUGUGCAUAGGUUUUAGAAGCCACUUUAACAUUCGCCACUACAGCCUGCAGUUCUUUUCCAUCAAGGAAACAUUGCUAACAUUUGCAAGGAAGAAAGUAUAACUUCUGGGAAGGACUGAUACCAUGAAAAGCAUUUCUCAGCUGCAAUUAAGGGACAUCAGUUAUAAAAAUAGAGUCAUAAAUGCAAUUUUUAUUCCAAUAGAUUAGCAACGCAAUCAAUUCAUUUACUUACAACUGACUGAUGAUGAAAGGACACAUUUUUAGCAAGUGAACUGCUAUCUCCAUACUAAAUUUGGAGUUUAGAAGUUUUGUUAUACGGACCUGUAAAGCUCAGAACCUGUGCAGCGAUCUGUAACACAAUGGCAUUUACUUGAUGUUGUUUUGCUAGAGAGCAGUGUGUUGCUAGAAUGCAGUUGUUCUAUUAAAGCCCUUGUAGUCCUCCUUCCUUAGAGUGGGGCUCAUUUAUUUUUUAUUAUUAUUCUUUUUACAGCAACAACAGUCCUCCAAUGAUUCAUAUCAGCAAACAGUAAGCACAAAACGAGCUGUGGAGCUCCUAUUUUCCAUGAGAUAAAAAGACAUACACAUCAUAAAUUCUGGAGCAGAAACUACAUUCGUUUGUUGAGAUUGCAAUCAAACAGAGUUUCAGUCAGGUCUAAAGCCAGCUGCUGCUACUGCAGCUUCACUUUGAAAUAAAUAAUAUUGGUGUAUAUAAUCAAAUCCAUACACAUAAAUAUCCAGUAAAACAGAUUCAGGCUCGAGGACUUCAUAAACAACAGUCUAUCUCUGCCUCAAAGGUGCAUCAUUAUUUUAGUUUUCAUUUAACAUGACAAUAAAUAUGCAGGUCCUAAUGUUCCGUAAUGUAGAUAUAGAGUAGGUGAAUCCCACUUGGCUUAACAGUGCAUAAGUUUAGAGAAAAACAAACUGCAGAAAACAUCCACAAACCACUUUGGGAGCUGAGCAGUUAACAUAUUCUGGGUCUCCAGGACUUCUUCCUGCCCUCUAGAAAUAGUCUGCUUGCUAUUAAAUGAAAGCUAGAAUCUGACCUUCAGCAUACUACUAAUGAGCAUGAGGAAGUCAUCAGCAGGCACUGAAAAGCUGAUGAGAAAGCAAAGAAAUCUGUGGCUGAUGCAAGUCACCCUUCUGCCCUUUAUGUUGGUAGCUAGAAACCUUAAAGUAUAUAUUCCAUUAUUUUUCUCCAGUGCUUAUUUGUAAGCACACUGCUGAUACUACAUAUUAGCUGUUGCAUUGCUCUUUAUGAUCCUAAAAAGCAGAAUGCUUGUUAGCUCACUGAUUGCAGUUUGGCAAAAUUAAACCACAAAAGAAAUCUACUUCCUUUAUGCCUCUCUCGUAAUCUACAUCACAGAUGGCACCCUGAGGAAUUCCUCCAUUUCCUCUCUCGUUAUCCCUUCUUUCACUUAUUGCACAACUCCACUCAUCACACCUCUCAGGCCUCCAACACAAGAGUAGGCAGGCUUCCCUUUCUAGCUAGUCAAUGGCAUUCGUAACUGGCACAGAGGGGAGAAAACUUGCCAGCACUGAGCAGAUUGCUCCGUUGGCACUGUACUGACAGCUGGCACUUCAAAAAUAUCAUAACCAGCUAUGGAUUUAAUGCACAGUUUCUUCCCUGAGCGAGGAUGAGCCUCCUGCCUUUCUGCUUUCAGCACAUUCAGACAAUAUCUUUACUUUCCAUCUACAGCACGCUUUAAGCCACCUUCUUUCCAUUGAAGGGUAGAAAUCAAAGCUCGGAGUAUUAUCACAACCAAAGCUAUUGACUUCACAGACAGGGAGAAUACCUUUGACUAGUCCAGUGAGCAUGCUGUCAGCUGGUUUAGAGUUGUCCGAGUCAGCUGGGGUUACUUCCCUUGAUUUCAAUGGAUGCAGUCUUCAGAAAGGCUGCCUAUGACACAGAAAAAUUAAAGAAGAGACAACGUUUCUCAGGAGGCAACGUACAGGUAUCAGGUCUACAUAUCUAGCUUUCCAGCCUCUGUAUAAAUAGCUGUGCUGUCAGUCUGUUCCUUACCUUCCUCAUGGGCUUCCCCUAUGGCAAAAGAGCCAUGUCAGGAGCAGGACCACAGCAUCUACCUGAAAGAAAUUAAGAACUAUUAAAUCACAAUAAAAGUUCUGUAAUUCAAGGCUGAAUAGGCUGAGCAGUUAGGCCUGAAAGGAAGAAAAACAAACUGUCACAAAACUCCAGGCUAAGAAAAAUGUAUACAAAUAUAUUAGACAGCUCAUUCCAGGUGAGCAACUGUGAAACUCUUUCCUGCACCUCAGCUUCCACAUUCAGCACAAAUAUCUGAAAAGGAAUGUUACCAUUUAAAAAUAAACACGUCCCAAAGGAAAAUAGGAACAGGAAAACCAAACUAGGCAGAAAAGAUGCGUGUAGGACACUCUCAGUCCACUGGAGCGCAAGAGAAGUUCAGCACUUUACACCCUGUGCAGAACUCAUAAAUCACGAGCUCUAAGGGGUUGGAAUACAACAGUAACAAGCUACUGGCAUCAGCAGCUGAUCUGCAGCCACGAAGGAGGAUUUGCAAGGUGUACUGUCUACAGUGGUAGGACUGGCUGUUUAGUUUUGAACUGCAACAAAACCGUAGAGCGUGAGCACCUCCAAACUCCUGGGGCAGACACCAUCUUCCUAUUCCAUUUUCUGGUUCUCCUAAUUCCGUAUCAACACUUCAGGUCCCUUCUGUGACUAUUUAUCCUACUGCUCCUUUUCGGAUUAAAGAACUGGAUAUAGCGUUAGACUCUGAAUAGAAACACCAUGUGGAGACUGAAAAUUCUGCACAAGAGGCCUCUAAACGAGUUGACCUUCCACAAAAACAUGGCAACAAAACCAACCAGCACAUGCAGGAAUAGCUGGAGAAGCUGCAGAACUGAAAACUUUGGGAGUCAAAUUGAGACAGUUGUAUUUACUCUCUGCUCCAGCUCGCUGCUUCAUCACACAGUCACAUCUCAUGGGCACUUUCUCUCCAUAGCACCCACUGCAGGAGUGUACAUUCAGUCGACUUUGAUACCUUCCCUAUAGACAUACGGGCCAUUGUAGCCUCAGAUGCCCCUGUCGAGAGUCACCGAAACCAUGCAGCAUUCUUUACAAAGAAUUCCUCUCCCCUCCCUUCUUUGCAGCCACUUCCUUACCUCAAACACAGUCUCCAAUAAUUGUGUUCAUACUUGUGUAUAUAAAUCACAGCUAUUAACUACCAUUCUUUAGGGCCACGAUUGCACUCUUCACCCUGCUGUCACACUGAAGGAACUCAGCAGACGUAUUCCAAGACAGUUUUUUUUUUUCUCAUGCAAACAUUUAUCUCGUUAAAUCACAUCUCUGGUACAGGCACAAGAGGUCAACCAAAGCCUGUCCACGUAGAGGAAGACCAAACUGGAUAACACAGACAAGAGGGAUGGGGUGGCUGAGUCAGCUCUAAAUUGCACACCAGGAAUUGUGUCCCAGCAAGCAAAGAGCUCGCUUCUGGGGAGAUUAUCCAAGUGCCUAAACCUUCGUCCUCCAUGUCAGUGGAUCAGGAAUAGGCUCCGAAGCUGGAGCUCAUGUUUUAACCCACCUGUCAUGAAUUUAUUAGAGCAGAAAAGGGUGUGGAACUGAGAUGAAGAAAGCAUAGGUGUGUUCUUGAAACUGAUUCAUGCAGUUCCCUAUAAGCAGACUUGGAAAAUCUGUCACUUUUCAUGCAUGGAAAUAAGCUCUGAAAUGGCAAAUGACUGGUACAGAUGUAUUUUCACUAACAGUAAAACAGAAAGGGGAAAUGAGCAGCAUCCUACUACUUGCAAAAGAGCAGAUCAUUAAGAGCUAAAUCUUCACAAGGGUACCAAAACUGAUCAGCAAGGACCUCUCUUGGGAAAAAGUCCUCCUCAUCUGGGGAACACGGUUCACCAGGAUACU